UAGACUCAACCGUAGCUUCCUAAGUUGUAUUUUUUUUCUGAAUAUUCUAAAUAUUUCUCCAGAACUGCAUUCCAGCCCUUUGCGGGAUAUGAGGCCAAUUGAUAAUCUAACUCUGAAUACUUUUGGAAACUUGAGAACAAGCUGUUUGUGUUCCCAGAGAUUAUGAGUUAGGGUUAACAUUCCAUAGUGUUGCUCAAAGCUUAUCUUGUGAAAGAAAAGACAAAGCAUCUGGGCACAGAAUCAGUUUUCAGAUAGAUGGACUGACAAGUGAUCUGCCUAGUUCUGAACUGCCGUCUUGUCCCUAAGAAAGGUUUUGCCUUUCCUAGUUGCUUCUAACCAUGAAGGUUUUAACCAUUUUGAUUCUGUUAGAAAUUACAAGCUGCUUUCCUGCUUUUUCCAGUAGCAUUUCUCCAGUCCAUUGCAGAUGGAAUCCAUAUGGUCCUUGGUCAGAGUGUGAUGGCUGUACUAAAACACAG